CUCAUGACGAACGCUGGCGGCGUGCUUAACACAUGCAAGUCGAACGGAAAGGCCCUGCUUUUGUGGGGUGCUCGAGUGGCGAACGGGUGAGUAACACGUGAGUAACCUGCCCUUGACUUUGGGAUAACUUCAGGAAACUGGGGCUAAUACCGGAUAGGAGCUCCUGCUGCAUGGUGGGGGUUGGAAAGUUUCGGCGGUUGGGGAUGGACUCGCGGCUUAUCAGCUUGUUGGUGGGGUAGUGGCUUACCAAGGCUUUGACGGGUAGCCGGCCUGAGAGGGUGACCGGCCACAUUGGGACUGAGAUACGGCCCAGACUCCUACGGGAGGCAGCAGUGGGGAAUAUUGCACAAUGGGCGGAAGCCUGAUGCAGCAACGCCGCGUGCGGGAUGACGGCCUUCGGGUUGUAAACCGCUUUCGCCUGUGACGAAGCGUGAGUGACGGUAAUGGGUAAAGAAGCGCCGGCUAACUACGUGCCAGCAGCCGCGGUGAUACGUAGGGUGCGAGCGUUGUCCGGAUUUAUUGGGCGUAAAGGGCUCGUAGGUGGUUGAUCGCGUCGGAAGUGUAAUCUUGGGGCUUAACCCUGAGCGUGCUUUCGAUACGGGUUGACUUGAGGAAGGUAGGGGAGAAUGGAAUUCCUGGUGGAGCGGUGGAAUGCGCAGAUAUCAGGAGGAACACCAGUGGCGAAGGCGGUUCUCUGGGCCUUUCCUGACGCUGAGGAGCGAAAGCGUGGGGAGCAAACAGGCUUAGAUACCCUGGUAGUCCACGCUGUAAACGGUGGGUACUAGGUGUGGGGUCCAUUCCACGGGUUCCGUGCCGUAGCUAACGCUUUAAGUACCCCGCCUGGGGAGUACGGCCGCAAGGCUAAAACUCAAAGGAAUUGACGGGGCCCCGCACAAGCGGCGGAGCAUGCGGAUUAAUUCGAUGCAACGCGUAGAACCUUACCUGGGUUUGACAUGGAUCGGGAGCGCUCAGAGAUGGGUGUGCCUCUUUUGGGGUCGGUUCACAGGUGGUGCAUGGCUGUCGUCAGCUCGUGUCGUGAGAUGUUGGGUUAAGUCCCGCAACGAGCGCAACCCUUGUUCACUGUUGCCAGCACGUUAUGGUGGGGACUCAGUGGAGACCGCCGGGGUCAACUCGGAGGAAGGUGGGGAUGACGUCAAGUCAUCAUGCCCCUUAUGUCCAGGGCUUCACGCAUGCUACAAUGGCUGGUACAGAGAGUGGCGAGCCUGUGAGGGUGAGCGAAUCUCGGAAAGCCGGUCUCAGUUCGGAUUGGGGUCUGCAACUCGACCUCAUGAAGUCGGAGUCGCUAGUAAUCGCAGAUCAGCAACGCUGCGGUGAAUACGUUCCCGGGGCUUGUACACACCGCCCGUCAAGUCAUGAAAGUUGGUAACACCCGAAGCCGGUGGCCUAACCGUUGUGGGGGAGCCGUCGAAGGUG
rnacentral:rRNA from 1 species